rnacentral:rRNA from 1 species
AGAUUGAACGCUGGCGGCAUGCCUUACACAUGCAAGUCGAACGGCAGCACGGGAGCAAUCCUGGUGGCGAGUGGCGAACGGGUGAGUAAUACAUCGGAACGUGCCCAAUCGUGGGGGAUAACGCAGCGAAAGCUGUGCUAAUACCGCAUAAGAUCUACGGAUGAAAGCAGGGGAUCGCAAGACCUUGCGCGAAUGGAGCGGCCGAUGGCAGAUUAGGUAGUUGGUGAGGUAAAGGCUCACCAAGCCUUCGAUCUGUAGCUGGUCUGAGAGGACGACCGAGCCACACUGGGACUGAGACACGGCCCAGACUCCGUAGGGAGCAGCAGUGGGAAUUUGGACAGUGGACGAAGCCUGAUCCGAGCAAUCGCCGCGUGACGAGGAAGGAGGUCCGUUACGGUUAGUAAACGUUGUACGUUUUGUAACGG